rnacentral:rRNA from 1 species
UUCGUAGGCGGUGUGGCAAGUCGGGAGUGAAAUCUCUGGGCUCAACUCAGAGGCUGCUUCCGAAACUGCUGUGCUUGAGUGUGGGAGAGGCGCGUGGAAUUGCAGGUGUAGCGGUGAAAUGCGUAGAUAUCUGCAGGAACACCCGUGGCGAAAGCGGCGCGCUGGACCAUAACUGACGCUGAGGAACGAAAGCUAGGGGAGCAAACAGGAUUAGAUACCCUGGUAGUCCUAGCCCUAAACCAUCAGGACUUGGGGUGCCGCCCGUUCGGGCGUCGUCCCGGAGCUAACGCGUUAAGUCCUGCACCUGGGGAGUACGGUCGCAAGACUGAA